rnacentral:misc_RNA from 1 species
UAUAUGAUAUGAUUUACCAAUAAACUCGCAAUAACGAAUAAGCACCAAUCGAAGAAAGAAGAAUUUUGAAAGUGGGGAUCGUUAAAGAACUUAAUUGUUCGAGAAUUGAGAAAUUGCAUAAUAUUCUUAAAGUAAAUUCUAAACGAGAAACAUGAAUGAAUAUAAAUAUGGAAAACUCAUUAUUGAAGGAAAGACCAAAAAGGUAUAUGAAGUUCUAAAUGAUUCUACUUUGUGUCUUUUACAAAGUAAGGAUUGUAUUACUGCUGAAGAUGGUAAAAAAUUUCAUAAUUUAAAAGGAAAAGCUGCAAUUAGUACAGCUACUACAGCUAAAGUAUUUCAAUUAUUAAAUAAAGCUGGAAUAAAAACAGCUUUCGUUGAAUUGGUAAAUGAUACUGUUUUUGUUGCCCAAAAAUGUCAAAUGCUACCAAUUGAAUGGGUUAGUCGAAGAUUAGCCACUGGCAGUUUCUUAAAAAGACAUCAAGGUGUCCCUGAAGGUUAUAGAUUUAAUCCACCUUUACAAGAAACAUUUUUUAAAGAUGAUAUUAAUCAUGAUCCUCAAUGGUCAAAGGAACAAAUUAUUUCUGCUGGUUUUAAAUUGAAUGAACUCAUAAUAGGAAAAGAUGAAUUUGAUAUUAUGCAACAUACUGCACUUACUGUAUUUGAGAUUUUAGAAAGAACAUGGGCGAGUAGAGAUUGUGCACUUAUAGAUAUGAAAAUAGAAUUUGGUGUGAAUGUAAACAAUGAAAUUAUGGUAGCAGAUAUAAUUGAUAGUGAUUCUUGGAGACUUUGGCCAUCUGGUGAUAAAAGAUUAAUGAAAGAUAAACAGAUAUAUAGAAAUUUAGAUAUUGUUACUGAAGAAGAUUUAAACACUGUAAAAUGUAAUUUUAAAUGGAUACAAGACCAACUUGACCAUCUUCUUCCUUUAUCUACUAGUCUUGUUGUUAUUUUAAUGGGAUCACUUUCUGAUGAAGGCCAUUGUAAAGAAAUAGCUAAACAUGCAAAAUCUUUAGGUUUAAAAGUUCAAUUUCGUGUUUGCAGCGCUCACAAAGGUACUCAAGAAACAUUGCGUAUUCUUGCAGAAUAUGAAGAUAGUGCUAAUAGCUGUAGCAGGGAGAAGUAAUGGAUUAGGUCCAGUACUCUCUGGAAAUACAUCUUUGCCUGUCAUUAAUUGUCCACCUUUCAAACCAGAAAAUAUUUCCCAAGAUUUAUGGUCAUCAAUCAAUGUUCCAUCAGGAAUUGGAUGCACUACAGUAAUCUAUCCUGAAAGUGCAGCAUUAGCAGCUGCUCAAAUUCACGCAUUGCAUGAUCAUCUAGUUUGGGCAUGUUUACGAGUAAAGCAGUUAAAAAAUUACAUUGCUUUAAAACAAGCUGAUAUUAAUUUAAAGAAUCUUAUUGUGUAAAAGAUUUGAAUUAUUUAAUACUAAUUUACGAUUCAAUUUUAUGAAUCACAUAAAAUUUAAUUACAUUUUAAAAAUAUAAUUAAUAUUAAAUAAUUCAUAUUACAAUAUAUUAAUUAUUCAUAUAAAUUUAUAUAUAUAUAUCAAUAUAUAAUAAAUAUUUAGUUGCUAAUUUAGUA